CACACCGGCUGGGCUGCAUGAGAGCUGGGUAUAGGACUUGGCUGUGCACUUGUUUACACAAAAUUCAACUAUUAGGAUAUUUCUAGCAUUCAUUGGACACGGCAAUAUCCUGAAGCUGCUAGGCGAGGUUCUGCUUUCUACCUCCGACGAUGAAUGGUUUUCCAGCAAAGUUUAUGCUGGUUAUUGCAGCACUAGUGUUGCUUCUUAUGGGGGAGUUCCAAGCAACAUGUGCUUUUCUUCGUCACGCUGAAGCUGAUCAAGGUAUUGUGAAGAGUACUUUGUCGCAUGUUGACUGUACAAGAGAUGGCUUGAGAAAGAUAAAUACUGGAAGAAAAGAAGCUAGCUUUGGAUCAUGUCAAACUCACAUUUUUAGCAAGAAAAUAGUGCCCAUCCGACGCAACCUAAGACAACCAUUGACAGGGCCCAAGCCACCUUCUCCCACCCAUAACUUCCCUCCGCACUACAGACGACCGGAUUGGCCGUCACCACCUCCGCCAUCAUUCAAUGAUACUUACUCUCCGGAAUCCAAACUGCAGGCAGAUUUCAAUAUGAACGCACUUACUGAGGUGAAGAGAAGGAAAGCUAUGGGACUAAAAAAGUCUAAGGUUGAAGUCAACCUUUUGAAAAUCUAAACCAAAUCAUGUAAUAAAAAGUAUCGUCUAUAAAUCUCGCUUCCUCAAGCCUUCUUCAUGUCACAGAAUUUACAGUUCGCAACAACUAUAAGUUGUUGGUUCUGUUUCAGAAAAUGAAUGGUUUUCCAGCAAAAUUUACGGUACUUGCAGCCGCUGUGUUGUUUGUUUUGGGGGAUUUUGCAGCAACUUCUGCCUUGAUUCCAGUUGGUAAUGGUUUUUCAUGUGGUAAGCAGAGCACUUCAGCAUUUGUGUCUGACAGUAAAGAUGGCUCAAGAUACACAUUUUCAAGGAGAGACGGUUGCUUUGGAUGUCAAAGUAUGAACAUUAACAAAGGCAGGCAAGUGCUGCUGAGAUUGAGGAGGCUGCAACAAACAAGAAGAUUUACAAGGCCACCACCCCCACCAAUCAGAAGUUCAUUUGGGAUAUGUUCUGCUCCCUCCGCUCCUCCUCCACCACUCACUGCAUGAUUAGCCAUGCUUCUUUUUUCAUUUGGAAAAUCAAUCUACGCAAGAAAAUUAUAUUUUUUUAAUAAAAUUAUCAGAACCCUUGUGUCAAAUUAUGUUCUUUCAGUUCCAUUUGCUUCACUUGGAUUGGACCUCUCCAAGGUUUGCCAAUAAUUGAAUGCAAAAGAAACGUGAAAUGCCAAAGGCACUGAACAAGGAAGCUUCCAAGAAGAAAAACCACUAGCGGCUUUUUAGUCAAAAGCUAUAUAGCCUACAGUAUAGAGAAUUGUCACACAAUGAGCUGGUUUUUGUCGUUUUGGAGUGGGAAAAUCAGCUCCCGUUAAAUUGUGUUUUAAUAAGGGGACAGUGGCUUCCAUGAAAGCAAGGGGAGCAAACGUGUGAAAUAGAAGUCAACUCCAUAAUUUCUGAACUUCUUUUACCAAAUCCUCAUUAAAUAAAACAAAAAACUUUAUUUAUAAUAAUGUAUUUCAAAGACAAUUUAGCUCAAGUAGAGAGACUAUAAAGUCUUGCUGUCCAGGGUUUUCAAUAUCCUAGGAUCUUGACAAAUCAUUCACACUGAAAGGCCUCUACAAGUUCUUGGUUCCAGCUUUCCAUUAUGAGAAAUUUUCUGGCAAAGUUGGUUUUAGCUCUAGUAGCAGUAUAUCUUCUUCUUGGUGUUUUUCCUGCAACUUCUACAUUACUUCCUCAAGCUGAAGGUGGUGAGAAGAGUAGUACUUUAUCUCAAGUUGACUGCAGAGAUGGCUUGAGGAAGAUAAUUGGAAGAAAAGAAGGACCAAAUUUAUACAAGCAUAAGUAGCUGAGAAAGGAAAAUACAAGAAUAAAAUUUGAAGGACUAAAAUUAAGGAUGAUGGAGGAGGUAAUUAAGGGUCUUUUAUAUGCUCUGAGUCCUCUUCAUCUCCACUUGUUUUGGUGCUUCCAAAAACUUUACAGUUUCCAGUUCCACUGCCAUUAAGCUUAAGGUCUGGUGCAACCGUAAGCAGAUUCUGUUGAAAGUUCCAUAUUUCAAUGUGAAAGCAGUUAUUUUGAGGGGUAGGGUAGCAGUCCAAGGUUGAAGUCAAACUUUUGACAAUCUGGCAAAGUCUAUAAAUCUUGCUUUCCUUGCCUUCUUCUCAUCGUUGAGGCCAUAAGGUUUUCUUAAGUUAUUGUUUCUGCUUCUGAUGAAGAUGGAUGACUUUCCAGCAAAGUUGGUGGUAAUUGCAGCACUAGUGUUGCUUCUUUUGGGGGAUUUCCAAGCAACUUGUGAAACAUUACUUCCUCAUGGUCGUGGGAAGAGUAGUUUAUGGCAUGUUGACUGUAGAGAUGGCUUGGCAGAGAUACAUAUUGGAAGAAAACAAGGUAGCUUUGGAUGUCAUUGUCAAGGUGAGAAUUUUAGCAAGAAAAUAAUGCCCAUCCGGCGCAGCCUAAGACCAAUUACUGGGCAGAAGCCAUCUUCACCCACUAAAAAUGGACGAAAGCAACAGUUCCUUCCACCACUUUCACCACGCCGGCCACUCCCGCCACAUCCGCCACCUCCCCCAUCAUCAAAUGAUUCUUAUUCUCCGGGAUCCUAAGUAAUGUAGCAUGGAUAGACCAUAUCUCAAUUGAAUUAGAAAAUAUGUUCUGUCAUCACUGAUAGAAGUUGGCCUAUAUUCACUUGCUCUAUGGAUGCUAUUCAUUCCCUAAGGAAGUUAGUUCUUUAACUUGUUGCCUUCCAUUUGGCUGUGGGGUCUUUCUACAAGCCACUUGAGUUAAAAGUAUGUAAUUGUGUCUGAAUAUGUCAUUUUCUUCACCACAUGUGUGACAUAGGCAGGCCUUUAACAAACUGCUCCAAUUAAGCCUCUAAAUAAAUCCUCCUCUUGAUUUCCACUUCAUUUUGUGCUUCAAAAACUUGUUCAGUUCUCAUUCCCUCCUUCUCUUUUGUGUUUCCUCAAAGUUCUAUUAGCAUGCAUAUGGCAACAGGGCAUCCAUCUUCUCGAGUUCUGUAUAUCCAUAUAUCUCCUCAAGUUUUGUCACUUUCUCAUUGAGUUUUCUGUUGAUCUCCUCAAGUUGUGUAACGAACUCCGUGAGUUUUGUUUCCCAGUCCAUGACUUUUGUAAUCAUCUCCUCCAAGAUUGGUUUCAUCUCUUCUGCUUGGGCUGAAGCCUUAGCUCUGAAACCUGCAAUCCAAAUAGCAAUGUGAGUAUCACUCAUUUGAGAAUUCUGGGCAAGUUCCAGUGUCAAUGCCUUCCUCUUCUUCUGUUAAGAACAUAUGAGUUCUUCCCAUAUAAGCUAUCAUAUUGGGUUCAUUCACCUCAAACACCAAACUGGCAUCAUCAUCAGGGACCAUUUCGUUCAUUGUUAGCUCUUGACAUCCUUUUUUGUUCCGA